rnacentral:lncRNA from 1 species
AAGGAUUUGAAAUAAAAUUAGAUGGAAAAUCUUGCUCACUAAAAAUAUGUCAACUGGCAGAUGAUACUCAAUUGUUUUUAAAAACACGCAAAGAUAUAAGUAUUGCCCUUAAUAUCAUUGAAACUUUUGGAAGCCUUUCUGGACUCAAACUGAAUAGAAACAAAACAGAAGGCUUAUGGCUUGGCAAAUUUAAAAAGUCAAAAGAUAAAUUUGAAAAUAUAAACUGGAAACAAGACCACAUUAAAAGUCUAGGAAUAUAUUUUGGAUACAAUUAUCAAGAAUGUCAAAAAUUAAACACAGAGAAACAAAUAGAUAAAUGUGAAAAAAUUGAUUCAAGGAUGGAACAAACGAAACUUAACAUUAUUAGGAAAAAUUACUGUAGUAAAGUCCCUAAUUUUACCAAACCUAACAUACACAGCAUCAUGUAUGAUAAUAACACAUGAAAUAAAACAAAAGUUCAAAAAUUUAAUAUAUAAUUUUAUAUGGAGCG